rnacentral:rRNA from 1 species
CCUACGGGGGGCAGCAGUCGAGAAUUUUUCUCAAUGGGCGAAAGCCUGAAGGAGCGACGCCGCGUGGGGGAUGAAUGGCUUCGGCCCGUAAACCCCUGUCAUUUGUGAACUAGUAACGGAAGAGGAAGGGACGGCUAACUCUGUGCCAGCAGCCGCGGUAAUACAGAGGUCCCAAGCGUUGUUCGGAUUCACUGGGCGUAAAGGGUGCGUAGGCGGUCGGGUAAGUCUGACGUGAAAUCUCCGGGCCUAACCCGGAAACUGCGUCGGAUACUAUCCGGCUAGAGGAUUGGAAGGGAGACUGGAAUACUUGGUGUAGCAGUGAAAUGCGUAGAUAUCAAGUGGAACACCAGUGGCGAAGGCGAGUCUCUGGACAAUCCUGACGCUGAGGCACGAAAGCCAGGGGAGCAAACGGGAUUAGAUACCCUUGUAGUC